rnacentral:rRNA from 1 species
UACGUAGGAGGCAAGCGUUGUCCGGAAUUACUGGGCGUAAAGCGUGCGCAGGCGGUGAUGUAAGACAGAUGUGAAAUCCCCGGGCUCAACCUGGGACCUGCAUUUGUGACUGCAUCGCUAGAGUACGGUAGAGGGGGAUGGAAUUCCGCGUGUAGCAGUGAAAUGCGUAGAUAUGCGGAGGAACACCGAUGGCGAAGGCAGGUCUCUGGGCCACUACUGACGCUGAGAAGCGAAAAGCAUGGGGAGCGAACAGG